rnacentral:rRNA from 1 species
CUGGCUCAGAACGAACGCUGGCGGCGUGGAUAAGACAUGCAAGUCGAACGACGAUUGCGAGGUAGCAAUAUUCGCAGUCAGAGUGGCGUAAGGGUGCGUAACACGUGGAUAAUUGCCAUGAAGUUGGGGACAACUCCGAGAAAUCGGAGCUAAUACCGAAUGUGGUGGCUGGAGGGCAUCCUCCGGCUCCUAAAGUUGGGGACCGCAAGGCCUGACGCUUUAUGAUAAGUCCGCGGCCUAUCAUGGCAGUUGGCGGGUAACGGCCCACCAAACCUAAGACGGGUAGCUGGUCUGAGAGGACGACCAGCCACACUGGAACUGAGACACGGUCCAGACACCUACGGGUGGCAGCAGUCGAGAAUUUUUCACAAUGGGCGAAAGCCUGAUGGAGCGACGCCGCGUGGGGGGAUGAAUGGCUUCGGCCCGUAAACCCCUGUCAUUCGGGAUCAAAGCGAACGGCCUAAUACGCCGGGCGUUGAUAGUACCGGAAGAGGAAGGGACGGCUAACUCUGUGCCAGCCGCUGC